rnacentral:rRNA from 1 species
UACGUAGGGUGCAAGCGUUAAUCGGAAUUACUGGGCGUAAAGCGUGCGCAGGCGGUUCCGCAAGUCAGAUGUGAAAUCCCCGGGCUCAACCUGGGAACUGCAUUUGAAACUACGGGGCUAGAGUGUGUCAGAGGGGGGUGGAAUUCCUGGUGUAGCAGUGAAAUGCGUAGAGAUCAGGAGGAAUACCGAUGGCGAAGGCAGGUCCCUGGGCUGACACUGACGCUCAUGCACGAAAGCGUGGGGAGCAAACAGG